AGCCUCAGUUGAAGUGGAAGACUCAGGAAUGAAAGGGUCAUGGAGAAGGAUAAAAGCUUGGCACCUUACGGCAGUGUCAGAGGCACUGAAGAGAGCCCAGAAGAGGCGCGCAGUGAAGGUGCACCCCAGUUGCAGUGGAGACGGGAGCAUUUUGGAGAUGCCUGCAUUUUGGAAUGACUGCCAAGGCCAGCAGCAGCGUGCCCCGAGCCUAAGAUAAGCCCGAGAUAAGCCGCAGGAGCUGUGGGUAGCAGAGUCGGGGAAACCUAUUAAGGCCCUUUGGAGCCCAGAGGAUUGUGAGUGGGUCGCGGACAUGAAGAUCUGAGCGCUAUACUGUAGGACUUCGGUUUUGUUUUGUUUUGUUUUUUAUUUGAUUGUCGCUGUGUCCUGGUUGUUCCCUCCUGGAGUAAGAACAUGGAUUCUGGGAGAUUGGGUUCCACGAAGCAAGCACUAAAUCAUCUCUGAACCCUUCAUAUUCAGAAGGCCUUUAAUGCCCAUGCCUCCUGCCGUGGACCAUCAACAAAAAGAACUGUGCAUAAUAAACCUCCUCCCCGACUAA